UACGUAGGUGGCAAGCGUUGUCCGGAUUUACUGGGUGUAAAGGGCGUGCAGCCGGAGAGACAAGUCAGAUGUGAAAUCCACGGGCUCAACCCGUGAACUGCAUUUGAAACUGUUUCCCUUGAGUGUCGGAGAGGUAAUCGGAAUUCCUUGUGUAGCGGUGGAAUGCGUAGAUAUCGCGCAGAACCCCGAUUGCGAAGGCAGCCUGCCGGCCCCACACUGACGCUGAGGCACGAAAGCGUGGGUAUCGAACAGG
rnacentral:rRNA from 1 species